rnacentral:rRNA from 1 species
GGGCCCGCACAAGCGGUGGAGCAUGUGGUUUAAUUCGAUGAUACGCGAGGAACCUUACCAGGGCUUAAAUGCAGUCUGACAGGUCUGGAAACAGACUUUUCUUCGGACAGAUUGCAAGGUGCUGCAUGGUUGUCGUCAGCUCGUGCCGUGAGGUGUCAGGUUAAGUCCUAUAACGAGCGCAACCCCUGUGGUUAGUUGCCAGCGAGUCAUGUCGGGAACUCUAGCCAGACUGCCGGUGCAAACCGCGAGGAAGGUGGGGAUGACGUCAAAUCAUCACGGCCCUUACGUCCUGGGCCACACACGUGCUACAAUGGUAGGGACAGAGGGCAGCUACCCCGCGAGGGGAUGCGAAUCUUCAAACCCUAUCACAGUUCGGAUCGCAGUCUGCAACUCGACUGCGUGAAGCUGGAAUCGCUAGUAAUCG